rnacentral:rRNA from 1 species
GUGGGGAAUAUUCCGCAAUGGACGAAAGUCUGACGGAGCAACGCCGCGUGAGUGAUGAAGGUUUUCGGACUGUAAAGCUCUGUUGUUUAGGACGAAAGUGCCUGUUGCAAAUAGUUACAGGUAUUGACGGUACUGAACGAGGAAGCCACGGCUAACUACGUGCCAGCAGCCGCGGUAAUACGUAGGUGGCAAGCGUUGUCCGGAAUUAUUGGGCGUAAAGAGCAUGUAGGCGGGAAUCUAAGUCUGUUGUGAAAAUGCGGGGCUCAACCCCGUAUUGCGAUGGAAACUGGGUUUCUUGAGUGCAGGGGAGGAAAGGGGAAUUCCCAGUGUAGCGGUGAAAUGCGUAGAUAUUGGGAGGAACACCAGUGGCGAAGGCGCCUUUCUGGACUGUGUCUGACGCUGAGAUGCGAAAGCCAGGGUAGCGAACGGGAUUAGAAACCCGGGUAGUCC